rnacentral:rRNA from 1 species
UCGAACGGGGACAGACGGAAACCUAGUGAAGUCUGUCCGAGUGGCGGACGGGUGAGUAACGCGUGGAUAACCUGCCGCAUGCAGGGGGAUACCGGCUGGAAACAGCCGCUAAUACCGCAUAAGCGCACGGUGCCGCAUGGCAGAGUGCGAAAAGGAGAAAUCCGGCAAGCGAUGGAUCCGCGUCCGAUUAGCCAGUUGGCGGGGUAAGGGCCCACCAAAGCGACGAUCGGUAGCCGGCCUGAGAGGGCGGACGGCCACAUUGGGACUGAGACACGGCCCAGACUCCUACGGGAGGCAGCAGUGGGGGAUAUUGCACAAUGGGGGAAACCCUGAUGCAGCGACGCCGCGUGGGUGAAGAAGUAUUUCGGUAUGUAAAGCCCUAUCAGCAGGGAAGAAAGAAGACGGUACCUGACUAAGAAGCCCCGGCUAACUACGUGCCAGCAGCCGCGGUAAUACGUAGGGGGCGAGCGUUAUCCGGAUUCACUGGGUGUAAAGGGAGCGUAGACGGCCGUGCAAGCCAGGAGUGAAAGCCCGGGGCCCAACCCCGGGACUGCUCUUGGAACUGUGCGGCUGGAGUGCGGGAGGGGCAGGCGGAAUUCCUGGUGUAGCGGUGAAAUGCGUAGAUAUCAGGAGGAACACCGGCGGCGAAGGCGGCCUGCUGGACCGCGACUGACGUUGAGGCUCGAAAGCGUGGGGAGCGAUCAGAGGUAGAUACCCUGGUAGUCCACGCCGUAAA